rnacentral:rRNA from 1 species
AACAGGAUUAGAUACCCUGGUAGUCCACACAGUAAACGAUGAAUACUCGCUGUUUGCGAUAUACAGUAAGCGGCUAAGCGAAAGCGUUAAGUAUUCCACCUGGGGAGUACGCCGGCAACGGUGAAACUCAAAGGAAUUGACGGGGGCCCGCACAAGCGGAGGAACAUGUGGUUUAAUUCGAUGAUACGCGAGGAACCUUACCCGGGCUUGAAUUGCAGUGGAAUAUAUUAGAAAUAGUAUAGCCGUAAGGCCGCUGUGAAGGUGCUGCAUGGUUGUCGUCAGCUCGUGCCGUGAGGUGUCGGCUUAAGUGCCAUAACGAGCGCAACCCUUAUCAUUAGUUACUAACAGGUUAUGCUGAGGACUCUAAUGAGACUGCCGUCGUAAGAUGCGAGGAAGGUGGGGAUGACGUCAAAUCAGCACGGCCCUUACGUCCGGGGCUACACACGUGUUACAAUGGGGGGUACAACAGGCAGCUACCGGGCGACCGGAUGCUAAUCCCAAAAACCUCUCUCAGUUCGGAUCGAAGUCUGCAACCCGACUUCGUGAAGCUGGAUUCGCUAGUAAUCGCGCAUCAGCCACGGCGCGGUGAAUACGUUCCCGGGCCUUGUACACACCGCCCGUCAAGCCAUGGGAGCCGGGGGCACCUGAAGUACGUAACCGCAAGGAGCGUCCUAGGGUGAAACUGGUGACUGGGACUAAGUCGUAACAAGGUAACC